rnacentral:lncRNA from 1 species
GCUCGCUGCGCGCUCCACCCGGGACGCGGCAUUACUGUCCGGCCGUGCGGACGUCGGGGACAGCGGCCCUCGCCCCCGCGGCCGGACGCCCAGCGCGCACGCGCUCGUGCUCGCGCAUGAGCCCCAGCCUACAACCCUGCAGUUUGCGCACGCGCGCCGGGUGGGGGGUGGGGUGGACGGAGGCAGGCGCAGCGGUAGGGGGGUCCCCAAGUCCCUAAAGGCGGUUUCCCCUGGGGCUCCCUGGUGCCAGUUACGGGCAGUGUCUCAGGCCUUGACUCCCCUGUUAGAGGGGCUCCCCUGUCUGGGUUUUCUGAGCCAACAAGGCGGGGGAUUCCUGUGGGCCCUGCCCCACCCAACUCAGACCGAGAAGGAGCAUGCUCUGGGAAAGGUGGGCUAGGUGACUCACCUCUGCAGAGACGUGACCCUGGUCGAGGAGAGGAACCCAACUGUCUCUAAAUGGUCUUUUUCAGGGCAGUGUGUUGCAAUGACUACCCCCAGAAAGCCCCCACGUACCUGCACUGCGGUUUUGUCUAGCGUGUGCAUGCAUUCUAGCAUGUGGGCCAUCUAUCAUCCUUGCUUCAUCUUAGAACUUAAACCCACAGCCCAAAUGAGUAGUUGUAUGUCAUAUGCCUCGGCCAAAGCACGACUGAAAGGAAAAGAAAGGCAGACACUGGAGUGCAGGAAGAAGACACAAGGCAAAGCCCAGAAUUCAAAAGUAGAAGCACAGAUUGUUUUCUUUGUUUCUGUGGCUCUGUCCAGAAGAAGGAGGCUCAGAUGACUACUUAAGGCCUCGGAAUCUCCCCAAUAGCCUGGCCGUGUGGUUGGCCUCUGUGGAGAAUGACCUCAUCCUUCAGAAGGAAGGCCACCUGUUCCCAGCCCUCAAUCAGCCUUCUAAAUAUGUUUCCUUCUUUCUGACAAGAGUCUUGGAGAGCUCAGAUCUCAGAGCUUCAGAGUAAUGCCUGCUUUAAAGGAUGGAGCCCAAAAGAGACAUUCUCCCCGCAGAACAACCACCCAGCACUGUAACUCCUGAUUCCUUGAACAGGACCUCCCACCCCUACAGUACCAGUGGCCUGGGUUUUUCAUAUCGUUGUCACACCUCCACAACCUUUCUCCAAAAACGUUGCUGCACAGAGAAUUAAGCCAGGGAGACCUGAGGUCUGUCUGAGCCACACGGGAUUCGAACUGGCUUUUCUUACACCUCCAUUGGGACCCAAGAAGUCUAUGGCACAGAGAACCCCAUUCGGCUUGCCUAUGCUGUGCCACCAAACAGAGUUGGCAUUUACAUUUGGUUUAGUAAUAGCUUUAACUCCUCCUCUACCCCACUCAGAAACACAAAGGGAGAUUUCUUUUCUCUCAUGUUAUUCAGGGGUCUCUGGUGGUGGUUUUUCUCAAAUGAGGGCGCAUCUUGUCUCCAAGGUGAUGUGAGAUCUCUCUCUCCAGACACAAAACCUGCAACUUUGAAUAGCUCCAAUUCAGCUUUCCAACGGGUCAAAAGGCAACCCAAAUUGGGUAGAGUGGAUGGCAGGAAGAAGGCCUGGUACAUGACUUAGGUGGUAUGUAGCAUCUUUCCCCCAUCACAGUGCUUUUUACAAAUAAUUACAAUGUGAGACAAAUACUGGCUGUUUUGUACUGUUUAUAACUACUAAGAGAACAGCUGCAGGCCCUUGGCAUUGCUGGUAUUUUCCUCCUACCAUGGCAGGCAGCUGCUUCUUGCUACAAAAGGAAGUUUACGUUCUGCUUGAUUGAUAGCAGCCCUAACACUUGAGGGGCAGUAGAGGUAUUAAAUGUCAAUGUCUGCAGUUAUGUAUCCGAGAACCACACGACAACAGAAGUUGGCUAAUAGUAUAUCUGCUAAUAGUUAGCAGAACUAACGUUUUGAACAGGGCACCUAUCAUCUAGGUAGUUAUUAAAUGUUGUUCCAUAUUAGUAGACAAAUAAUCCCUUACCUCUCAUUUAGUAUUUCUUUAAAGAUACAUAAUACAUGCAUAUGGAUACAUAUAUGGAUAUUUGUGGAUAUGUAAAUGUGGCUUUUUGUUUGCAAGAUGCCAAGCCCAGCGUGACCCUGGUAGGGACAGAGUGACAUGGUUCCUGCCCCUGGGACAGGACCCUGGUGUGAGCCUCCAGGAGAUGUUGAUGGCUUCUGUGAACCUAAGGCUUGUUUGUGUAAUAAAGUAUAUAUUUUCACAUUUCUCCAA